UACAUAAAUCUCAAAAGAAUGAUGCUCUCCUAUGUCUCUGGCUUUCAACAUCUACAAAAACAAACAUUAUUUUAGUCUAAGUAAAAAAAAAGAUAACUUGAUAGAAUUCUGAAGUUUACUCGCCUUAAACCCGUCUCUCCCUCUCUUCAGAAGAAGCUGAGAACACCGCCUCCUCCUCACACAGUCUGUGACUCCUCACAAGAGCAGGUGUCUUUAACUCUCAGUGCGGGGACAAUGAAGACACGAGCUCAACAAGUCUGAAAUAUUACAUGUAUAACAUACUUUUAACAAUUACCACGUCAACAGCCUCAAAAUAAUCAUGCUAGUCUUUAUUACAUAACGCGGUUUCCUUUAGGAAACUAACGUACAUUCAGUUUAACCGCGAAAAAUAAGAUAAAUUAACAUGAGUGUAACCGUAACCAUAACCGUCUAUUAACACCUCAAAAAGUGCAGAUACUGUAAAAUAUUAUGUAAAUAUGACAUACGACACUCACGGACGUUAUAUUAAAAGAACCUCUUCCGUUUGGUAACGUUAAAGGAGGCCGUUAAGACCUCCGUUUCUGAGGCGAAAACCGCGUCCGCGUAUGUUUCUAUAUAACGUUAAGCUCUUUUGUUUCCGCCUUUCAUAAAACCUUCCGACUUUCAUAAAACCGGGUAAACAAUAAACGAUAAUUUUACAUUUUGAAUCUUUACUUACCAUAAUGUCUUUCACUCGCUUCUCGCUUCUUUCACGCUGAGAAAAUGGCGGCUUCUUGCACUGGAGACGUACGAUUUUAACGUGACGUGCGUGCUCUCCUUCACGUCCGCGUUCACAACCCAGCGCCGCUGGGUUAUGAUCAAGACCAAUUUUCAACCCAAACUUGGGUUAAAACACCCCAAUGUCCUACCUAGCGGUCUCAACCCAGCAUUUGGGUUGAAAAAACAACCCAGCGUUUUUUAGAGUGUAUGACACAUGACAAUGUGUAUAUGUGAGAUGGAGCGUGUUUUCAUCAUACGGAGUUUGUGUCCUUUGGUCAUACAUCCAUAGCGCAUAUAGCUACCGACUCAGAGCUCCAUGUGUUUUCAGCCAGACAGAAGCGGGAAAUAAGCGAAAGUUUUGCGGAUUUCUGACCAGGGUCGAGCAGACUGGAGAGGUGCAGAAGAUGUCCGGACACCGGGUCCAGUUCGCGGAUCUUCCUUCUACCAGCGAGCGGAAAGCCAGCCCGAAAAUUAGCAGUAAGAUUUCGGAGUUUCUGGUUCCUUCAGCUGUGCCUCAAACGCAAGUAUGCUGCCUACCUAGACUGCAUCACAUACAUGUUUAGAGUGUUUGCAUGUUCGCUCAGCGCCUCCGAUGCCCAACAAUACUGUCUAGGUAUAGGCAGCACACUUGGUUUUGACGCACAGCCUAAGAGUUUGAAGUUUAGAGGAGAGUGGGGGUAAGAUGUGCCACUUUUCACUUAAGUUGAUCUCGAGGCAAAAAGAAAUACGAUAUUAUUAGUUGUAGAAUGCUGUGUUAUGAAAUUAAAAUAUAAAGGCUAAUAGAAAUAUGAAUUAUUUUUUAAAAAGAGGUAAAGUGGCAAAACUUGCCCCACACAAGGGGUAAACUGUGUCAUGUCAGAGGAAACACUGGGGAAUUAUGUAAAUGAUUUACAAUAAAAAUAUUAAUAUUCCAAAGUUCCUUUCCAAAGCCGUAUUUUGCCACAGUUUUGUCACAAUUUUUUUUUCAUUUUCAUAAAUCAGCCAAGAUACCCCUUAUAUAGUUAGAAUAUUUCAAUAUAGUGUUUGUUUUUUUGAAUUAUUUAGCAGAACCAGUGCCAUAGCUUACCAUGACACAUUUGACACACUUUACCCCACCAACCACAAAAAUGCUUCAUUAUUUAAAAAAAUUUUAUUAAUUUUUUUUUUUUUUUUUUUUUUUUUUUUGACAGUGUUUGGUCUUGUUUUGUAGUUUGUCGUAAAUUAAAGGGGGUUGGACACAACUUACCCACUGUACAAAUCUUACUCCACUGUUCCUUGCUGAUUUUGUAUCUUUGCUGAUGUAUGCUUCCAGUGACAGCAGUGGCUUUCUGCUGAAUGAAGCUUAUCUUUUUUUUUUAGCAGUGUUUGGCUUGUUUGUAGUUUGCUAAAUUAAGGGGGUGACACAACUUACCCACUGACAAAUCUUACUCCACUGUUCCUUGCUGAUUUUGAUCUUUGCUGAUGUAUGCUUCCAGUGACAGCAGUGGCUUUCUGCUGAAUGAAGCUUAUCAGAAAACUUGAACAAGAACAGCUGUUUCAUAUGUCAUCAUGGUCUCAUAACCUUUAAAACCCUGUGAACAUUUAAGUGAUUCUUGCUUAUGUUGCUACAUUUUCUGCUGUUGUAAUUUCUGCUCUAAUACGAGGCAUUUGUCUAUGACAUUAUAGCUGAGAGAAACAACCUUGCUAUGUGUGCGUACAUAUGAAAUGCUAUUCUCAGUUAAAUGUCAUGGCUAAAGUAAUACCAGUCAAACAAAUGGGAUUCCUUUUAUAAUUUGGAACCAAUUCUAAAAGAUCCCCAAAGAAUCAAAUAAAAUCCUAUUGGAUAAACUCAAGUUCUAUACCAAAAUUAUAUGGUUAAUUUCAUAGAACUUUUCUCAUAUAGUUGGAUCUUAUUUGAGUAUUAACAGAUUCCUAUUUGAUCCCUUUAAAUUGGUUCCAAAUUAUGAUUUCAUUAGCAAUUCCUUUCAUACCAUUAAGAUUUUGAGAACAUUUCUUUUCAAACAUUACUUUGAACAUUUACUGGAAAGAACCAUUACUGGAAAGAAAUUGAGAUUUAGACAUCUAAUUUAUGAUCUUGUGUGUAAAAACGUCAGGAACCGAGGGCAUUUCAUAAAUUCAAACUAUCCCUUAGUGACCUAAAGAAUCUUGGAAGAACUCUUCCACUGGGCUCUGUCUGUUAUUUGCUUCAUGGUUAUUUCUAAUCAGAACAUAUGAAAUGAUUUUGAAUGGCUUUGAUGAGUCCUGCACACUACAAUUCAGUGCCUCCUGGACUUGCAGACUUGACGAGAGAGUGGAGAUAGAGG
rnacentral:lncRNA from 1 species